rnacentral:lncRNA from 1 species
GCCGGGACUCCUUCAAGAUCGCCAGUGCCUUCCUUGCUCGGUUUGCCCUUUUCUCCGGGGUGACGUCACGGCGUAGCCGUCACACCCUCGAGACGUGCGAACGGCUCCGCAGGGUGUGGAGAAGGUGGAGAGUGCAGUUGGGUGAGGUAGCCUUGGGGUGUGGACUCCUGCCCGCUGGGCUGAAAGGCCUUGAGCUACGGGACGCAAUGGAACUGGGAAGCUUACCGUUUGACGACGCUUGUUCCAAGGCGGAAGUGCUCGCUGCAGCCUGUGUCGCCGCCCUCUCUGUAACCUUGUUGGUCUGGGUGGAGAGUUCCUGCCCAUUCUCAACUUUGGGUCCAGAGCUCAAAUGACCACCCAUCUUGGGGGCCUCCAAGAGUUGGGCUUUUUUCCCCCUGCCGCGGCUUGGGCCAUUAAGCAAGUGAGAUUCGGCCCAUGCGGUUUGGCGUCGUUUCAAGGGCCUUGACUUUUGUGUCACCUCCCUGAAUUUGAGUUUUCUCUGGUUGACCACGUAGGUCCACUGGGGAAGUUCUUGAGGUGAAAACUGAUCGCGCUCGGCAAAAUGAAAAAAAGAGGUUCAGCAUGUUUGGGGCUGGGUGCGAAACCGUUCCCUCUUGGACGUAUUUCAGACCCAAUAGUAGUCGUUAAGGAAGAGACCUUCACCCAGGCCCUGCCAGGCCCUGGAAGCUUGUGCUGAGCCCGGCGGGAGAAGGGCCACCGACCCCCAAAGUAGUCAACCAGGGGUUGCGGAAACGGAGCUGUUAGGUUGACACCUGGUUGGUGGGACUGGAGGACGUUUCAUGAAGGAGGUAGCAUUCGUACCGGACCUUGUAGAAGUAAUGUGAUUCCAACAGGUGGGAGUUGAGAACCUAGACUAUUCUGGUUACAGCCGGGGGGCCAUUUCCCAAGUUUGAAAGAACCCAGCCCUUGCUGUAGAAACUGGUUUCUGCCGUUACUACUGACACCUUUACUGCCGUGUGUUGCCUUUCUUUUUGCAGGGAGAAGAGGGAUGAUGAUUAAAUACAUCAGAUAAGAGCUAAACCUGAUGGUAAAGAUUAGAGAGAUCAAGGUUUGUGUCAAUAGAAUGAUGCAUAACCAUAGAUUCUUAACCUAGGAUUGUUGACCUGUGUGGACCAUGGACGGGCUUCAGAAGUUUCUAGUUUUUUGUUUUUGUUUUUUUCUGUUUUACUCUCUUGAAAUUACAUGCAGAAUAGUAUAUACUCCUGGGAGAGAUUUUGGCCACUUUUCUCAUUCCCUGUUCCCCGAUGGAAAGGAGCUGCUAACCUAAUAGUGAAAAUUCAGUAUACUCAUUGCCCCACAUUCUUGCAUUCAUUAAUGGGUUCUCUUCUACCUUCCCCACACACACGGUUUAGUUGAGCCGGGAUCUGCUGUGUAGAUGUGGUCAUUUUGCCUGUCUCCUGGGCUUUCCCAUGUGGCCUCGUAGAGGUUAAGAUUCCACGCUUUUAAUGAGCAAAGAAUUGGUGGCUGUUUGAGGCCAGGAGCCCAAACCUCGACCUCUUUCUCCGCUUAUAGAGUAUCUUCCAUGUGAGAGUGCUGUCGUAAACACUGGUAGACAGAGGUAAACAAAGUGACUUCCUGUUUUCGUGGAGGUAUAGUCCGAGAGAAAUAGUAAACAACCAAGCAAAUACAUAGACAAUUAUGUUAUAAAGGACAAUGCAGAAAAGGCCAGUGCAAACAUCAUAGCUUAGCCUGGCCUACCUUUAACAUGCUCAGCACAUUUACAUUCACCUACAGUUGGGCAAAAUCAUCUAACAUAAAGCCUGUUUUGUAACGAAUUAUUGACUGUAUCAUGUAAUUGAAUACUGUACUAAAAAUAAAAAACAGAAUGGCUAGGGACGACUGGGUGGCUCAGUUAAGCAUUCGGCUUCAGCUCAAGUCCUGAUAUCACAGUUCACAAGUUCGAGCCCUGCAUGGGGCUCUGUGCUAACAGCUCAGAGCCUGGAGCCUGCUUCUGAUUCUGUGUGUCCCUCUCUGCCCCUCCCCUAGCUCGUGCACGCGCGCGCACUGUCUCUCUCUUUUAAUGUUUAAAACAUUAAAAAAAAACCCAAUAGCUGUAUGGGAACAGUAUGGUUUAAGUAUGGUUGACCCUGGUGAUCACGUGGUUGACCAGGAGCUGUAGCACCUGCCACUGCCCAGCCUCAUGGGAAAGGAUUGUCCCGCAUAGCACUAACCUGGGAAAAGAGCCAAAUUCAAAAUUUUAGGUACAGUUUCUACUGAAUUCGUAUCACUUUUGUACCAUCAUGAAGUCCAAAAAGUAUAAAUGGAUCCAUUGUAAGUUGGGGACCACCUAUAUACCAUGCUACAGCACCCUUAAGGAGUUUGGAGAACACCCUCUAUGAGAAAACUGAGAGGAAACCAGUUAUUUAUUUUUAAUGUUUAUUUGAGAGAGAGAGAAUGUGAGCAGGGGAGGGGCAGAGCCAAAGGGGACAGAUAAUUCCAAGUGAGCUCUGCACCGACAGCACUGAGCCCGAUGUGGGGCUUGAACCUACCAACCACGAGAUCAUGACCUGAGCUGACGUCAGACACUCAACCUAUUGAGCCACCCAGGUGCCCCUCCUUUCUCUCUUGAGGAUUAGUUAAUGGUCCUGAACUUCUACCUAACUCAGUGCUGGGAAAAGCACGUUCCUAAAGUCAGAGAAUGCACUUGAGCAACAUUCACAGGCAAUCUUCCUCAUGUACUAGAAUGCUCUGAAAGCAAACUCCGGUAGGCCUGAAGGAUAUGAGCCAGGUAUAGACCGCAUCUACUACAGUGUGCAAACGCAAAAGUUGAGAAUCACUGCCUGGACUGAGAAACCUAGAGGGAAAGUAUAUUCACACUUCCCUUUCAUUCUUUGUUGCCGUUAAGCAGCUCACCAGCAUUGUGCUCUGCUUUUAGCACCUGCAGGGUGGAGGAAAAAAAAGACUGAUUUCGAGACUUAGUGAUGCCUUGAAGUGGUAAUUGAAGCUGUAAUCAAGUUUUGUAGGCUCCUUUAAUGAAAGAAAAAUUUUGAAGUCUUGAAAUUAAUGUGUGCCCUACAUAAGUAACCUAAAUAUAAAGAAAAGCACAAUUUUAUGUCUUUGUUAUAAACCGAUUUUCUAAGCAGUUCCAUGUCCGUGGAAUCUGCCCCCCACUUCAUCUGUCCCUUAUCACAUGUCACAGGUAGAAUAAUGUCAUCUCUUGUUAUGAGAGGGGACAAUACCCAUACCUUAUUUAGGUGUGCUUCCUCUCUUGUACCUGGAACAGUGCCCCCCCCACCCGCACACACACACACAGGCACAUAUUAGGGUGUCGUGUUGAAUAAAUAGACGGAGCAUGAGAGUACAGGAGACAUGCACAAGCUAGGAGUGUGUAGCCUGGUGAGAAGCUGCUAUCUUGGCAAACCCAGGAAAUAAAUGUCCAAAGGGACAGGCACUCAGAGCCUGUAAGAAAUAAGUAGGUGCAAACGUUACUGUAGGAAAAAAAAAAAAAUCGGUCUGUGCAGAAAGAAUUAGCAUCAAGCGGGAUUCUGAGCCAGAGAGUAGCUUGAGGGUCACCCCGGCUGGCACCAAGCCAACUUGAUGAGCUCAAGCUGAAUUAAGCAAAAGUUGGGAAAUACUUGACUGAGGUCGAGCCAGUUGCGAGGUGCCUGCUCCAUUUCCAACACUACUCUUAAGGGUUUAAUAUGUCUAAAAGGCUACCUCAUUAGGAUGUUUAUUGUAGCAUCACUGUAGUAGGGGAAAACUGGAAACAAUUUACAUGUCCAUUGAUAGAGGAUUGGCAAUUGCUCGUAUAUAUUAUGUGAACAUCUCAGGAUACAUAAAUGUGUGUUGGUGUAAUUAAUGCUAGCUGAAAUUACAACCCCAAAAGUUGGCUGGCUGAACCCAAAAGCUUAUUUCUCACGUAAAGUCCAAUGCAGAUGUCCCUGGUCUCUCUCCUCCAAGCAGAGAGCCAGAGAUUUUAGUUUCUAAUGUCUUGUGGCACCGUCUUCUAGGGCCUCCUUGGACUCCUCCCCUGGACCCUCUGCAUCCAGCCGGCUGGUUAGCUAAGAGAGAGAAAACCACGAAGGGCAGUGAACGCUGGAAAUGGUGUCAGUUAUUUCUUCCCACGUCGUGUUGGUCUGACCCAGUUGUCCGGCCCCAACCUGAGUCAAGCAAACUGGGACAUGGCUUCCUAUGUGCUCAGGAGGAAGAAAUGGGAAUGAUGAGCAUCUGGCCAAUCUCUGCUGCAACUGCUAAUUUUGGUGGCCUCCAGGCCAGAGCUACUGACUUGCUGAGGAAGAGAUGUAGGAGGAUUAUACUCUUGUACACAUUGGAUUUUAUAAAUCCAAAUAUUACCUCUUCAAAUAAAUUAAAAAAGAGGAGACUGGUGGAAUUAUGGGUCAUCCAUACCAUGAAAGAGUGAAGUACAUCUGUACGUACUGGAAUGGAACGAUCUUCAGUGAAGGUAAACAAGCAAGUUGUAGAUAAAUUACUGCUAUUUUUUAAAAAAAAUUUUUAAUGUUUAUUUUUGAGAGAGAGACAGAGAGGGAGCAGGAGAGGGAUACGGAAUCUGAAGCAGGCUCCAGGCUCUGAGCUGUCACCACGGUGCUCCACACAGGGCUCGAACCCACGAACCACGAGAUCAUGGCCUGAGCUGAAGUCGGAUGCUUAACCGACUGAGCCACCCAGGCGCCCCUGUAGAUAAAUUAGAUUUCAACAUUGACUUAGUUGCGGCUACUCUAACAAAUUACCAUAGGCUGCUUGUUUGAACAACAAACAUCUUUUUCUCACAGUUCUGGAGUCUGGGAAGUCCAAGACCCAGGUGCUGGUGGAUCUGAUGCGUGGUGACAGCCUGCUUCCUGGCUUGUAGGUGGCUGUCUUUUCAUUAUAUGCUAGUAUGGCAGAGCGCAGGAGCAGGCUCUAAUCCCAUUCAUGAGGGCUCCACCCUUAUGACCUAAUUACCUUUCAAAGGUAAUCCUAAUAGCACAUUUAGGAGUAGGAUUUCAAUAUAUGAACUUGGGGAGACACAAACGUUCAAUCUAUAACAUAUAUGUAUGUGAAUGUAUAGAGUAAGAUCUGGGAGAUGUUUGGAGGUGCAAAAGACACUUGUUCUAUGUGUGUUGUUAGAACUAUAAGAACGGGACAUUCCAAUAAUUGCUAGCUCUAACAAUAUAAAUUCUUGAAAGUAAUUCAUUAAGUUUGGUUCCACAACAGUAUUUUGGGGGCCCAUAAAUAUAAACCCCAGCCACGUUAGUAAUCAAGAAAAUGCACGUAAAAACUAAAAUGAGAUACCAUUUCACCCUCACCAGAUGGGCAACAUUUAAAAGCCAGAGAAUACCAAGUGCUGGCCGAAAUAAAGAGCCGCUGAAACUCUCAGACCUUGCUAGGUGGAAUGUCACCGGAUGCAACCUC